UUUUUUUUUUUUUGCUUCAUUAGUUUUUCUGAUUCAUUUGUUCAGGUUGUAAUUCACACUCCGGUCUUUCCUUAAAUAAGAAAUCAAAAAUCUUUUAGCUGUUAGAAAGAACUUCCCCAUUAUUUGAACCUACUGUAAUUUAGAAACUGCUGUGAUUUUGAAACCCGUUGUCCACUUGAUUACUUGACCAUUUGGAUAUUUGGGUAGGAGAUUUGGUGUUCAACACAAUGGAACGGAUAAAAAUCACCAACAAUGAACUCGGGCAGCCCGUGGGUCCCGAGGCAACCCAAUCAACCACCUUUGUGGGUGUGAUAGCAUGUGAUGUGAACUUUGCUCCCCUUACUUAUAACUGGAAGAAAAUCCCACUAGAAAACAAAGAGAACAUGUGGUAGAAAGUUUUGGUAGAGUGUAAUCUAAAGAAACCUUUCACAUUUUUUUUAAAUCAUCAUUAUUGACAUUAUUAUAUAUUAUAGACCAAGUUUGAUAUUGGCCUGAAUUGUCGAAGAUGGGUGCUGUUGUCCAUUAGAAAUAAAUGGAGGACCUUCAAGUCUCGCCUUGCAGACCUUGAUCAUCGGGUCCCACCUGAUCAGUGGUCAGCCCUUGUUUCCCAGUGGAGCUUUGAGAAAUCACAGGGGUGAUGAUGGAGUAUUAAGGUUGGGGAUCCGAAGAGCGAUACAAGCAACGGUGUCAUCUUGGCAACAACUAAUGUUGUUCUUGGACAAUUCAAAACGUGUGUGAUCCUUUUAGGAGGUUUCAUUAUGUUUGGGUCAAACCCAUCUUGGCAAGCGGCAAAAACAAAGGUUGGAAAGUCUAAUGGUUAUGGAUCAAUACCAGGAAGCAGAGCUGUAUCUUCGAGAGGGGUACCAGCAAAGGGCUCAAAACCAGAGCCUCUAACGUCUGUUCAAGAUAUUAACAUACAAUCACAAGCAUUGCUAAAUGUCAAAGACUCUAAUAAGGAUGAAAGAGAGAGAAUUGUGGUUCGUAUGUUUAAAUUUGAAGAGUUACGAUUGGAGCAAAUUCAGGAUCUUGAGG